UUUUUUGAAAUUUAAUUAAAGAUGGUAUCCCAUCAGUUAAAAGUGACUUUAAGAGUAAUUGUCUGGAGUUUAGGUUGUAGUUGGGUGAUUGAGCACUUAACCUGGUAACUGUGUUGCGUGAGUUCUUUUCCUGGGGAGACGCUACACAUGUGUACUAACCCCAACUAACAGACGUACAGAUACCACUAAAGUCCAACUUGGUGAACCAGUGGGUUUCGUUGGGGUUACUAAAAGGAGCAGAAAUGACUCAAAGACAGCUAGCUGCAUCACCAAAGUCCACCCCAGCAUGGGUGACAGCUCCUAAAAGCUGGGAACCUGGAGCACAUGGCACAGCCUGCAGGCAGCCCAACAGGUUGAAGAAUGUCCUUUCUGAGGGACUCAGUUUGUCUAAACCUCUUCCUGGUAGCUUGCUUUUUUUCUGAGAGUCGUCUUUGUAGCUUUGCUUGCCUAAAAGUAUCUUAAUAGUCUUUACUGAGGAGGAGAGUUUAUCUUUCCUGUGUGAAGAAGGGGUCUAGUGAAUCUGGUCAGUUUCAGGGACUUCCUGAAGCUGUUUUCAGUUGUUCACCAUCCUGCAGGGUCUCAGAGGAUCUUGUUGAAACUGUGAAGGUCUGGGUUCUAGUUUUAGCACUCUAAAGGAGCAACUAAUUGUCCCAUUGUCUUAGCCAGUAAUGAUGAACAAGUUAGAUGUCAGCCAUGUGGUAUCAGCUGGGCUGUGUUCUGACAAAAUAAUCUAGUAGUAGUAUCCGUGUGUUAAAUGUUUAGGGUGUUAGUGUUGGAGCUAUUUCUUUUAGAUGUAUUAUAAUUUACUCAUUAAGAUCUUUUCCAGUUGGGCCAUACUAUUCAUUAACUAUAUAAACCUUCCAUGUUCUACAGAUUCUGACACUGGGCUAGCUUGAUUCUUCAUGGUAUCCUUACCCAGUACUGACUUCUGGCCUGUUGUACUUGAACAGUCUGUGUGAAUAUUCUCACCACCUCUUAGAUUACACCUAGCAUUCACAUUUAUGUGUUUUCAUGACAGGUUUUUAUCGAAUCAUUAUAAAUAUUGUACAUGAUGCUAGAACACAUGGGUGAUCCCAACCUUCUAGAUGGAAGAUAAAGAUGAAUGGUUUAGCUGGGCAGUGAUUGAGCUUGCCUUUAAUCCCAGCACUCAAGAGGUAGAGGCAGGCGGAUCUCUGUGAGUAUGAGGACAGCCAAGGCUACACAGAGAAACUCUGUCUCAAAAAAACAAAGUAAGAC
rnacentral:lncRNA from 1 species